rnacentral:rRNA from 1 species
UACCAGCUCCUCGAGUGGUCGGGGCGAUUAUUGGGCCUAAAGCAUCCGUAGCCGGUCAUGCAAGUCUUCCGUUAAAUCCAGCCGCUCAACGGUUGGGCUGCGGAGGAUACUACGUGGCUAGGAGGCGGGAGAGGCAAGCGGUACUCAGUGGGUAGGGGUAAAAUCCUUUGAUCCAUUGAAGACCACCAGUGGCGAAGGCGGCUUGCCAGAACGCGCUCGACGGUGAGGGAUGAAAGCUGGGGGAGCAAACCGG